UAGACGUCUCUCCUCAGUGAGGACAGCCCUUUUGAAUGUUUGAUCUCAAAUCA
rnacentral:rRNA from 1 species